rnacentral:rRNA from 1 species
GGAGUUUGAGAGAGGGCAAUGGAAUAUCUGGUGUAGCAGUGAAAUGCGUAGAUAUCAGAUAGAACACCAAUGGCGAAGGCAGUUGCCUGGCUCAAUACUGACGCUAAAGCACGAAAGUGUGGGUAGCAAACAGGAUUAGAUACCCUGGUAGUCCACACCCUAAACGAUGAAUACUAGAUGUUGGUCCUUUUAAGGAUCAGUAUCUGAGCUAACGCAUUAAGUAUUCCACCUGGGAAGUACGAUCGCAAGGUUGAAACUCAAAGGAAUUGACGGGGGCCCGCACAAGCAGUGGAGCAUGUGGUUUAAUUCGAUGCAACGCGAAGAACCUUACCUAGGCUUGAAAGGCUAGCUAAUCCUGAUGAAAGUCGGGGUGCCGCAAGGCGAGCUAGUACAGGUGCUGCAUGGCUGUCGUCAGCUCGUGCCGUGAGGUGUUGGGUUAAGUCCCGCAACGAGCGCAACCCUUGUCCUUAGUUGCCAACAGGUAAUGCUGAGCACUCUAAGGAGACUGCCUACGCAAGUAGUGAGGAAGGUGAGGAUGACGUCAAGUCCGCAUGGCCCUUACGCCUAGGGCCACACACGUGCUACAAUGGCUACUACAAAGGGGAGCAAGACCGCAAGGUGGAGCAAAUCCCUAAAAAGUAGUCUCAGUUCGGAUCGGAGUCUGCAACUCGACUCCGUGAAGCUGGAAUUGCUAGUAAUCGCGCAUCAGCACGGCGCGGUGAAUACGUUCCCGGGCCUUGUACACACCGCCCGUCAAGCCAUGGAAGUUGGGGGUACCCGAAGUCGCCUUUAAUAAGCGCCGAAGGUAAAACCAAUGACUGGGGCUAAGUCGUAACAAGGUAAAG